rnacentral:tRNA from 1 species
GCCGUCGAAUGGGCAACUUACAUCGACAAAGUCACAAUUCUAAGCAUAUGAAAACACUUCAUAUCGCUCUGAUUUGUAAUCAGGGGGUCCCGGGUUCGAACCCUGGCGGGGGCACCA